UACGAAGGGUGCAAACGUUGCUCGGAAUCAUUGGGCGUAAAGCGCACGUAGGCGGCUUCGCAAGUCGGAUGUGAAAUCCCUAGGCUCAACCAAGGACGUGCAUCCGAAACUGCAGAGCUUGAGUACAGAAGAGGAUCGCGGAAUUCCCGGUGUAGAGGUGAAAUUCGUAGAUAUCGGGAGGAACACCAGUGGCGAAGGCGGCGAUCUGGGCUGAUACUGACGCUGAGGUGCGAAAGCGUGGGGAGCAAACAGG
rnacentral:rRNA from 1 species